CCGCUCGGUGAUGCUGAGAUCACCUCCCAUAUCCUGGCUGGCCUCGACAUCGACUACAACCCCGUUGUUUCAGCGCUCGCGGCACGGCUCGAGCCCGUCUCAGUUCAGGAAUUGUACAGUCAGCUUCUGAGCUCCGACG
rfam:Triticum aestivum genome assembly, contig: Triticum_aestivum_CS42_TGACv1_scaffold_603770_7DL